CGCACCGUCGCCGGGGAUACCGGGAGUGGCACUGCCGGUGCCACGUGGCGCGCUCGUCCGAUCGCCUCGCAUCGUUGCGGC
rnacentral:tRNA from 1 species